GGAGACGAGGGAUCGCCGGAAUUUCGAGUCGUGGAGAAAGAAUUUGCUCGCGGGUGGAGUGGCAGCGAUAGGUCCGGUAGCGGCAGCUGCUGUGGAUGUGAAUCAAAGAACAAAGAGACAUCUCCACGGCGGUGUUGCUGUCCAUUCUUUGAUCCCACGAAGAAGAUUGAUGGAAGCAAAUGAAUCGAGAAGAUCACACAUUGAUUGCUGCCCCAAUACUGGGUACUCUUCGCUUGUUCCAAGGGAAAAGCUAUCAACAACGACUUAAGCGUUUCCAUAUUCGUCCGUCAGUGGCACAGCUUGGCUUUGAUGCAGCCAUCUUAUCGCGACGUAACUGGGAGGAAUACUUCGUACCCCACGCAGCUGACGUUGAUUUUUGUCGCCGCGCGGGGUUAAAGGUUUGUGACUAUGGCCACACAGAGGACACGAUGCAGCUGCGCUGGUUAUUGCGAAAGAUGGCAAAUGCAGAUGCCUUGGGAGAUGGCGCAAAGAAUAACAAAAAAUGCAAGUUUUCCUUUCCCUUGAGCACAGAGCAUGGCUUGUUGGAAGAAAAUGCAGCCACAGCGGGCAGGUGAGAGUUCUUUUGUUUCAGGCGCGGGCGUACCUUCACGGAACUUUGUAUGCUUUUAAAAAGGAACGCUGUGACCGGAUCAAGGACUACAGAAGUGAAGUUUUCACGUGAUCCUGGACUGCCAGCUAUAGUAAACACGAAGAGUCAAAUGGACAGCAGCGUCCCAGGUACUUGAUAGCUAUGGAGGCGACAAAACGAACAAGUUAUUGCACCAGACAAUGCAAUAGAUUGCACUGCCGCAGUAGCAGAAUUUCAAUGUCAGAGCCGAAGUGACUCAAGCGAGCAUAAAAAGUAAAAUUUCCAGGUGUA